GACGAACGCUGGCGGCGUGCUUAACACAUGCAAGUCGAACGGGUCUGCCCUGUUUUUUGCGGGGUGGGUCAGUGGCGAACGGGUGAGUAACACGUGAGUAACCUGCCCCUCACUUCUGGAUAACCGCUUGAAAGGGUGGCUAAUACGGGGUGUUCUGGCUGUGCCGCAUGGUGCGGCUGGGAAAUAUUCUCUUUUGUGGUGUUUUGGUGGGGGAUGGGCUCGCGGCCUAUCAGCUUGUUGGUGGGGUGAUGGCCCGCAAAGGCUAUGACGGGUAGCCGGCAUGGGGGGGUGGGAGGGCUGGCUGGAGAGGAGGAACAGCCAAGACGCCAGCGAGACGCAGCAGUGACGGGUAUGGGACGAAGGGGGGAGGACUGAUGCAGCGUCGGCGCGUGAGGGAUGGAGGCCUGCGGGGUGAGAACCUCUUGCGCCGGUGAAGAAGAGCCUGCUCAUUGGGGUGGGGUUGGAGGGAGCCGGGUGAAGAAGCGCCGGCUAACUACGUG
rnacentral:rRNA from 1 species